UACGGAGGAUGCAAGCGUUAUCCGGAAUGAUUGGGCGUAAAGCGUCCGCAGGUGGCAAUGUAAGUCUGCUGUCAAAGCGUCUGGCUCAACCAGAUAAAGGCAGUGGAAACUACAUAGCUAGAGUACGGUAGGGGCAGAGGGAAUUUCCGGUGGAGCGGUGAAAUGCGUAGAGAUCGGAAAGAACACCAACGGCGAAAGCACUCUGCUGGGCCGACACUGACACUGAGAGACGAAAGCUAGGGGAGCGAAUGGG
rnacentral:rRNA from 1 species